AUGAGUCCUGUUCGGGUGCUCAAUGCCUCCUCCCACCAAGAGUUACCUUGGAUAGCUUGGUUAAACAGAGUCCACCUAUACAACAUCCCCCACAUAGCCUCCUGCAAAAACCCUUCCUACCUAACCAAAGUUGUGCAAGCCCAACUAGCGACCCUCUCCUCUAUCACCUUCAUCCUCACAAACAACGGUCUGAGAACUUUUUUCUGGCACGACACUUGGCUUGCACAUGCACCGCUAGCUUCGUUUUUUCCUAGUCUAUACUCCCACUCCUUGGACAAGCACGUCCUUGUCUUCCAUGUCAUGCAGUAUGGGCUACUUACGAACCUAACGGACCGGCUAACCUCGGCCGCCUCGAGCGAGCUGGAACAGGUAAUGUUGUUGUUGCAGGAUUUCUCUCUAUCCACGAGUCCCGAUGAGAGGCACCUCAUCCAUGGCACAACUUUCUCCUCCAAAGCUGCCUACAAGCUACUCACUCAUGAGGAUCAGGAGCACGCUCAUGCUCCCUUAAUCUGGCGAUCCAAGGCACACCCAAAGCUGAAGCUCUUUGCAUAG
rnacentral:rRNA from 1 species